rnacentral:rRNA from 1 species
AACGAACGCUGGCGGCAUGCCUAACACAUGCAAGUCGAACGAGACCUUCGGGUCUAGUGGCGCACGGGUGCGUAACGCGUGGGAACCUGCCCUUAGGUUCGGAAUAACUCCCCGAAAGGGGUGCUAAUACCGGAUAAUGUCUACGGACCAAAGAUUUAUCGCCUUUGGAUGGGCCCGCGUUGGAUUAGCUAGUUGGUAGGGUAAAAGCCUCCCAAGGCGACGAUCCAUAGCUGGUCUGAGAGGAUGAUCAGCCACACUGGGACUGAGACACGGCCCAGACUCCUACGGGAGGCAGCAGUGGGGAAUAUUGGACAAUGGGCGAAAGCCUGAUCCAGCAAUGCCGCGUGAGUGAUGAAGGCCUUAGGGUUGUAAAGCUCUUUUACCUGGGAUGAUAAUGACAGUACCGGGAGAAUAAGCUCCGGCUAACUCCGUG